CUCGUAGGCGGUUCGUCGCGUCCGGUGUGAAAGUCCAUCGCUUAACGGUGGAUCCGCGCCGGGUACGGGCGGGCUUGAGUGCGGUAGGGGAGACUGGAAUUCCCGGUGUAACGGCGGAAUGUGUAGAUAUCGGGAAGAACACCAAUGGCGAAGGCAGGUCUCUGGGCCGUCACUGACGCUGAGGAGCGAAAGCGUGGGGAGCGAACA
rnacentral:rRNA from 1 species